UUCCAUGUGAAAUACAUAUUAGCAAAGUAUUCUAUGCCUUUGCCCCUUUAAUUUUGUUUUCAAAAAUUCCCAUGACAAUAUUCAGGUAUCCAUGCCACACGAGGACACGUUUAAUGGGAAUCCUGCAGAUCAAAGGAGGGAGGUACACUGCUGCUGAGAACAGACCCUUCUAAGACAUCUUGCAAGGCCUUCACGGGAGGAAGUUACUUCUCUCCUCUUUGAUAUUGGACUUGGCCAUGGGACCAGCUUUGGUUAAGGAGAUAUUUGUAGAUGUAAGAAGAGGCUUGUGGUGGGCUUGCACAUGCAUUUUCCCCACUACUUGAGAAAAAAAGAAAAUGGGUAGCCACUGGUUUUUCACUAGUAAUGAAAAAUACAUGAAGCAGACCUGGAUUAACCCUCUUUUAGGAGCCAACCUGAAUUCUCAACCAGAUCAAACACUAAUCGGUAGACACAUAACAGAGAAUAAAUGAUUAUUGACAUAUGA